UGUAAGCGUAUACCAAAGUUGUUGCAGUUAAAACGCUCGUAGUCGGAAUUUGGCAGUUCCGGAUGUGUGCACGUCGUGUGCGCACGUCGCGGGGAUUGCUUUUGUGGUCUUGCGUAGGAUGAGGCACUUUUAUUAGUGAACGUCCUCACGCAACCACUUUUUACUGUGAGAAAAUCAGAGUGCUCAAAGCAGGCAUUUGCCGUGAAUGUAUUAGCAUGGAAUAAUAGAAUAGGACUUGGUUCUAUUUUGUUGGUUUGUUGGGACUGAGUAAUGAUUAAGAGGGACAGUUGGGGGCAUUUGUAUUUCGGUGCUAGAGGUGAAAUUCUUAGAUUACCGAAAGACAAACUGCUGCGAAAGCGUCUGCCAAGGAUGUUUUCAUUGA
rnacentral:rRNA from 1 species